UUUAUGGAGAGUUUGAUCCUGGCUCAGGAUGAACGCUGGCGGCGUGCCUAAUACAUGCAAGUCGAGCGAACGGACGAGAAGCUUGCUUCUCUGAUGUUAGCGGCGGACGGGUGAGUAACACGUGGAUAACCUACCUAUAAGACUGGGAUAACUUCGGGAAACCGGAGCUAAUACCGGAUAAUAUUUUGAACCGCAUGGUUCAAAAGUGAAAGACGGUCUUGCUGUCACUUAUAGAUGGAUCCGCGCUGCAUUAGCUAGUUGGUAAGGUAACGGCUUACCAAGGCAACGAUGCAUAGCCGACCUGAGAGGGUGAUCGGCCACACUGGAACUGAGACACGGUCCAGACUCCUACGGGAGGCAGCAGUAGGGAAUCUUCCGCAAUGGGCGAAAGCCUGACGGAGCAACGCCGCGUGAGUGAUGAAGGUCUUCGGAUCGUAAAACUCUGUUAUUAGGGAAGAACAUAUGUGUAAGUAACUGUGCACA
rnacentral:rRNA from 1 species